GACGAACGCUGGCGGCGUGCCUAAUACAUGCAAGUAGAACGCACAGUUUAUACCGUAGCUUGCUACACCAUAGACAGUGAGUUGCGAACGGGUGAGUAACGCGUAGGUAACCUGCCUGGUAGCGGGGGGUAACUAUAGUAACGCUAAGCUAAUACACCAUAUUAUUGUUUAUUCCAGGGUACUUAAUACAAUGCGCCAUUUGAACCGCUACUGGAUGGACCUGCGUUGGAUUGGCUAGUAGGGGAGGGAAGGGCCCACCCAGGCGACGAUACAUAGCCUGCCUGGAGAGGUGAUCGGCCAAACCGGGAAUGGAGAAAGGGCCAGACUCCUACGGGAAGCAGCAGUAGGGAAUCUUCGGCAAAUGACGGAAGUCUGGACGAGGAACGCCGGGUGAGUGAAGAAGGUCUUCGGGUCGGAAAGCUCUGUUGGAAGAGAAGAACGGGUGUGAGGGUGGAAAGUUGACACUGUGACGGUAUCUUACGAGAAAGGGACGGCUAACUACGUG
rnacentral:rRNA from 1 species